GAAGAGCUCACUCCCCUUAGUUUUUUCCAGGGAGUGAAACCAGGGUCAAUGGGAGGAAAUAACACAAGCAAUAAUGCCACGGAGGAUAGUGUUUAUCUGUUACUCUUGUGAGCCCACCACCAUCGUGGGGCCUACCUGCAUGUGUCCCCUUCCAGACUCAUGGAUAAUCACCGUGUCACUCAGUCUUGGCCCUAACUUCUCCUGCACAGCAAAGACUCCACAUCCAGAUCCCGAAGGCACCUGUGUUCUAACUCUUCAGGGAGGCCGGGAGAGGACUCGGUAUGUCCUUAACAGCUGCAUUAUCCCUCCCCACAUGCUCAGGAGGAGACGUCGGCUCUGAGCAAUUUACUACAUCUCCCAGACAGUCUACCAUCUUCAUAUUUUGAAAGGCUCAGUCCCCUCUAAACAAGACCUUCCAGACACUACUGCUUUCCUCAUUAAUUAUAAAAUUCCUGCAAAACACUUUUAUCUCUUCUUCUUUACAAAAUGCCCCCGAAUCCCACAGUCCUAGGGUACUGAUUUCCAAGCGGUAAACCAAGACCUAUUAGUCAACAGGAGGAAGAUUUAGUAGUUUGUAAC
rnacentral:lncRNA from 1 species